ACGAACGCUGGCGGCGUGUCUUAAGCAUGCAAGUCGGGCGGCAAGGCGGGGCAACCCGCCCUAGAGCGGCGGACUGGUGAGUAACACGUGGGUGAUCUGCCCUUGGAUUGGGGAUAGCCAUUAGAAAUAGUGGGUAAUACCGAAUAAGUCCGCGAGGUUGCGACCUUGCGGGGAAAGGCGCUACGGCGCCGUCCGAGGAUGAGCCCGCGGCCCAUUAGCUAGUUGGCGGGGUAAUGGCCCACCAAGGCGAUGAUGGGUAGCCGGCCUGAGAGGGUGUACGGCCACACUGGGACUGAGAUACGGCCCAGACUCCUACGGGAGGCAGCAGCUAAGAAUAUUCCGCAAUGGGCGAAAGCCUGACGGAGCGACGCCGCGUGGAUGAAGAAGGCCGUGAGGUUGUAAAGUCCUUUUGCUGGGGAAGAAUAAGCCUGGGAGGGAAUGCCCGGGUGAUGACAUGAACCGGCGAAUAAGCAUCGGCUAACUCCGUGCCAGCAGCCGCGGUAAUACGGAGGAUGCAAGCGUUAUCCGGAUUCAUUGGGUUUAAAGGGUGCGCAGGCGGAUUGGUAAGUCAGGGGUGAAAUCCCACAGCUCAACUGUGGACCUGCCUUUGAUACUGCUAGUCUUGAGUAUAGUUGAAGUUGGCGGAAUGUGUCAUGUAGCGGUGAAAUGCUUAGAUAUGACACAGAACACCGAUCGCGAAGGCAGCUAGCUAAGCUAUAACUGACGCUCAUGCACGAAAGCGUGGGGAUCAAACAGGAUUAGAUACCCUGGUAGUCCACGCCGUAAACGAUGAUUACUCGAUGUUGGCGAUACACAGUCAGCGUCUGAGCGAAAGCAAUAAGUAAUCCACCUGGGGAGUACGUUCGCAAGAAUGAAACUCAAAGGAAUUGACGGGGGCCCGCACAAGCGGAGGAGCAUGUGGUUUAAUUCGAUGAUACGCGAGGAACCUUACCUGGGCUCGAACGUAAGUUGACUAUAGGUGAAAGCUUAUAUCCCUUCGGGGCAAUUUACGAGGUGCUGCAUGGUUGUCGUCAGCUCGUGCCGUGAGGUGUCGGGUUAAGUCCCAUAACGAGCGCAACCCCUACCUUUAGUUGCCAGCAUGUAAUGAUGGGGACUCUAAAGGAACUGCCUACGCAAGUAGUGAGGAAGGCGGGGAUGACGUCAAAUCAGCACGGCCCUUACGUCCAGGGCUACACACGUGCUACAAUGGCCGGUACAGAGGGCAGCUACCUGGUGACAGGAUGCAAAUCUCCAAAGCCGGUCUCAGUUCGGAUCGGAGUCUGCAACCCGACUCCGUGAAGUCGGAUUCGCUAGUAAUCGCGCAUCAGCCAUGGCGCGGUGAAUACGUUCCCGGGCCU
rnacentral:rRNA from 1 species